rnacentral:rRNA from 1 species
UAGGGGAUCUUCCACAAUGGACGCAAGUCUGAUGGAGCAACGCCGCGUGAGUGAAGAAGGUUUUCGGAUCGUAAAGCUCUGUUGUUGGUGAAGAAGGAUAGAGGCAGUAACUGGUCUUUAUUUGACGGUAAUCAACCAGAAAGUCACGGCUAACUACGUGCCAGCAGCCGCGGUAAUACGUAGGUGGCAAGCGUUGUCCGGAUUUAUUGGGCGUAAAGCGAGCGCAGGCGGAAUGAUAAGUCUGAUGUGAAAGCCCACGGCUCAACCGUGGAACUGCAUCGGAAACUGUCAUUCUUGAGUGCAGAAGAGGAGAGUGGAAUUCCAUGUGUAGCGGUGGAAUGCGUAGAUAUAUGGAAGAACACCAGUGGCGAAGGCGGCUCUCUGGUCUGCAACUGACGCUGAGGCUCGAAAGCAUGGGUAGCGAACAGG